GACGAACCGUGCAAACGUUAUUCGGAAUCACUGGGCUUAAAGGGCGCGUAGGCGGGCCGCCAGGUCCGGGGUGAAAGCCUCCAGCUUAACUGGAGAAGUGCCUUGGAUACCGGCGGCCUCGAGGGAGGCAGGGGCGUGCGGAACUUCGGGUGGAGCGGUGAAAUGCGUAGAUAUCUGGAGGAACACCGGUGGCGAAGGCGGCAUCCUGGACCAAUUCUGACGCUGAGGAGCGAAAGCCAGGGGAGCAAACGGG
rnacentral:rRNA from 1 species